rnacentral:rRNA from 1 species
AACGAACGCUGGCGGCAGGCUUAACACAUGCAAGUCGAGCGCCCCGCAAGGGGAGCGGCAGACGGGUGAGUAACGCGUGGGAACGUACCCUUUGCUACGGAAUAGCUCCGGGAAACUGGAAUUAAUACCGUAUGUGCCCUACGGGGGAAAGAUUUAUCGGCAAAGGAUCGGCCCGCGUUGGAUUAGCGAGUUGGUGGGGUAAUGGCCUACCAAGGCGACGAUCCAUAGCUGGUCUGAGAGGAUGAUCAGCCACAUUGGGACUGAGAAACGGGCCAAACUCCUACGGGAGGCAGCAGUGGGGAAUAUUGGACAAUGGGCGCAAGCCUGAUCCAGCCAUGCCGCGUGAGUGAUGAAGGCCUUAGGGUUGUAAAGCUCUUUCACCGGAGAAGAUAAUGACGGUAUCCGGAGAAGAAGCCCCGGCUAACUUCGUGCCAGCCGCCGCAGUAAGAC